CAUCAUAAAUAUUUCUUACCAUUAAGAAACAAUACUCUCUCAUUCAACAUCCAUCCUAACCAAACAUGUUGUAGCAUUUAGUUCAUAAGUUGGCACAAUAUUAUAAGGCAUACACUGAGUAUAAGUCUCAUCAUUCUCUUUUUCCAAUCCUUUUUCCAUAUCAUAAAAGUCCUAGGUUUAGUCUUAAUGAUAACAGACCAAUUUUUACCUUUUGAAUCUUGCAUAAAAAAUAUUUAUUGAGUUUGAGAUUAAAAAAUGAAUCGGUUAUCUUUUAAUAACACACCAAUAUGUAUCAAUCUUGAAAAAAUUAGAAGUGUGAUCCCAUUUAUGUCUUUCCUCAAAC
rnacentral:lncRNA from 1 species